UACGGAGGAUGCGAGCGUUAUCCGGAUUUAUUGGGUUUAAAGGGUGCGUAGGCGGGAUAUCAAGUCAGCGGUAAAAAUUCGGGGCUCAACCCCGUCGUGCCGUUGAAACUGAUGUUCUUGAGUGGGCGAGAAGUAUGCGGAAUGCGUGGUGUAGCGGUGAAAUGCAUAGAUAUCACGCAGAACUCCGAUUGCGAAGGCAGCAUACCGGCGCCCAACUGACGCUGAAGCACGAAAGCGUGGGUAUCGAACAGG
rnacentral:rRNA from 1 species